AGACCUUGCGCUUUUGGAGCGGCCGAUGCCUGAUUAGCUUGUUGGUGAGGUAAAAGCUCACCAAGGCUCCGAUCAGUAGCUGGUCUGAGAGGACGACCAGCCACACUGGGACUGAGACACGGCCCAGACUCCUACGGGAGGCAGCAGUGGGGAAUUUUGGACAAUGGGGGCAACCCUGAUCCAGCCAUGCCGCGUGAGUGAAGAAGGCCUUCGGGUUGUAAAGCUCUUUCAGCCGGAACGAAACGGUCACGGUUAAUACCCGUGACUACUGACGGUACCGGAAGAAGAAGCACCGGCUAACUACGUGCCAGCAGCCGCGGUAAUACGUAGGGUGCGAGCGUUAAUCGGAAUUACUGGGCGUAAAGCGUGCGCAGGCGGUUUUGUAAGUCAGAUGUGAAAUCCCCGGGCUUAACCUGGGAACUGCGUUUGAAACUACAAAGCUAG
rnacentral:rRNA from 1 species